rnacentral:rRNA from 1 species
UAGUUGGUAAGGUAACGGCUUACCAAGGCGACGAUCAGUAGCCGACCUGAGAGGGUGAUCGGCCACAUUGGAACUGAGACACGGUCCAAACUCCUACGGGAGGCAGCAGUGGGGAAUAUUGCACAAUGGGCGAAAGCCUGAUGCAGCAACGCCGCGUGAGUGAUGAAGGCCUUCGGGUCGUAAAACUCUGUCCUCAAGGAAGAUAAUGACGGUACUUGAGGAGGAAGCCCCGGCUAACUACGUGCCAGCAGCCGCGGUAAUACGUAGGGGGCUAGCGUUAUCCGGAUUUACUGGGCGUAAAGGGUGCGUAGGCGGUCUUUCAAGGCAGGAGUGAAAGGCUACGGCUCAACCGUAGUAAGCUCUUGAAACUGGGAGACUUGAGUGCAGGAGAGGAGAGUGGAAUUCCUAGUGUAGCGGUGAAAUGCGUAGAUAUUAGGAGGAACACCAGUUGCGAAGGCGGCUCUCUGGACUGUAACUGACGCUGAGGCACGAAAGCGUGGGGAGCAAACAGGAUUAGAUACCCUGGUAGUCCACGCUGUAAACGAUGAGUACUAGGUGUCGGGGGUUACCCCCUUCGGUGCCGCAGCUAACGCAUUAAGUACUCCGCCUGGGAAGUACGCUCGCAAGAGUGAAACUCAAAGGAAU